rnacentral:rRNA from 1 species
AUUGAACGCUGGCGGCAGGCCUAACACAUGCAAGUCGAACGAGUGGCGGACGGGUGAGUAAUGUCUGGGAAACUGCCCGAUGGAGGGGGAUAACUACUGGAAACGGUAGCUAAUACCGCAUACCAUCGGAUGUGCCCAGAUGGGAUUAGCUUGUAGGGGAGGUAACGGCUCACCUAGGCGACGAUCCCUAGCUGGUCUGAGAGGAUGACCAGCCACACGGGAACUGAGACACGGUCAAGACUCCGACGGGGGGACUCAGUGGGGAAUAGUGCACAAUGGGCGCAAGUCGGAUGCAGCCAUCGCGCGGGUAUGAAGAAGGCCUUCGGGUUGUAAAGUACUUUCAGCGGGGAGGCGUUACCCGCAGAAGAAGCAACGGCUAACUCCGUGCCAGCAGCCGCGGUAAUUC